rnacentral:rRNA from 1 species
GUAUUUUGACUGUACAAAGGUAGCAUAAUCAUUAGUCUCUUAAUUGGUGACUUGUAUGAAAGAUUGGAUGAGAUAUAAACUGUCUCUAAUUGAUUUAUAAAAUUUAAUUUUUUAAUAAAAAAGUUAAAAUAAUUUUAAAAGACGAGAAGACCCUAUAGAGUUUUAUAAUUUAUUUAAUUAUUAUUAAUAUGUAAAUUUUAAUUUAAAAAUUAAAUAAAUUAUUUUAUUGGGGUGAUUGAAAAAUUUGAAGAACUUUUUUUAAAAAUAAACAUUAAUUUAUGAAUAAAGGAUCCAUUAUUAGUGAUUGAAAGAAUAAAUUACCUUAGGGAUAACAGCGUAAUUUUUUUUUUUAGUUCAAAUAGGAAAAAGAGUUUGCGACCUCGAUGUUGGAUUAA